rfam:Pteropus alecto contig103600, whole genome shotgun sequence.
GACUACGGCCAUGCUACCCUGAACAACCCCGAUCCAGUCUGAUCUCGGAAACUAAGCAGGAUUGGGCCUGGUUAGUACUUGGAUGGGAGAUCAUCUAGGAAGACCAGGUGCUGUAAGUG